rnacentral:rRNA from 1 species
ACGGUGAGUAACGCGUAUGCAACUUGCCUAUCAGAGGGGAUAACCCGGCGAAAGUCGGACUAAUACCGCAUGAAGCAGGGAUCCCGCAUGGGAAUAUUUGCUAAAGAUUCAUCGCUGAUAGAUAGGCAUGCGUUCCAUUAGGCAGUUGGCGGGGUAACGGCCCACCAAACCUUCGAUGGAUAGGGGUUCUGAGAGGAAGGUCCCCCACAUUGGAACUGAGACACGGUCCAA